rnacentral:rRNA from 1 species
CCUACGGGAGGCAGCAGUGGGGAAUAUUGGACAAUGGGGGAAACCCUGAUCCAGCGACGCCGCGUGAGUGAAGAAGUAUUUCGGUACGUAAAGCUCUAUCCGCAGGGAAGAAAAUGACGGUACCUGACUAAGAAGCCCCGGCUAACUACGAGCCAGCAGCCGCGGUAAUACGUAGGCGGCAAGCGUUAUCCGGAUUUACUGGGUGUAAAGGGAGCGUAGACGGCAGCGCAAGUCUGGAGUGAAAUGCGGGGGCCCAACCCCGGAACUGCUCUGGAAACUGUGAAGCUGGAGUGCAGGAGGGGUAAUCGGAAUUCCUGGUGUAGCAGUGAAAUGCGUAGAUAUCAGGAGGAACACCGGCGGCGAAGGCGGCUUACUGGACUGUAACUGACGUUGAGGCUCGAAGGCGUGGGGAGCAAACGGGAUUAGAUACCCCGGUAGUC